rnacentral:rRNA from 1 species
GACGAACGCUGGCGGCGUGCUUAACACAUGCAAGUCGAACGGAAAGGCCCUGCUUUUGUGGUGUUCUCGAGUGGCGAACGCGUGAGUAACACGUGUGUAACCUGCUCUUGACUUUGGUAUAACUUCAGGAAACUGGGGCUACUACCGUAUAGCAUCUCCUGCUCCAUUGUGGGGGUUGGAACGUUUCGGCGGUUGGGGAUGGACUCGCGGCUUAUCAGCUUGUUGGUUGGGUAGUGGCUUACCAAGGCUUUGAAGGGUAGCCGGCCUGAGAGGGUGGCCGGCGACAUGGGGACUGAGAUAGGGCCCAGAGUCGUACGGGAGGCAGCAGUGGGGAACAUUGCACAAUGGGAGGAAGCCUGAUGCAGAAACGCUGCGUGCGGGAUGACGGCCUUCGGGUUGUAAACCGCUUUAGCCUGUGACGAAGCGGGAGUGACGGUAAUGGAUAAAGAAGCACCGGCUAACUACGUG